rnacentral:lncRNA from 1 species
GGGUUUUAGCCAUACAUACCUUGUUUAAGCUUUCCUUAAGUUACUACGACGUUCCGGAACUUCUAGCAAUCCCAAUCUACUUUGAGACAUAACAAAAUGGAACACAAAUUAGGAAGGUAUUCAUAGUUUCAACUCAUUUAAGUAUUUUAUCAAAUAUUAGUUGAGCAUCUUGAUUUCAAAUCUCUUUUACAGGAUUUCCUUCAUUCCCCAACCCAAUCUUUACUUAUUAAUGUUCAACAAUCUUCCCACAAACCUAAUUUUUACAGCAUGUAUAUAUAAUAUUAUUACACCCAAGAAUCAUACCCCAAUAACCCAUCUCACCUUCUCCAUAGCACCAACACAACCUAGGUUAGGCACCUAUGGCUUCCAAUCACCAUCCCAUGAGUUCUAACAUAUAUAUAAUACAUAAAUUAUCACCGUAGACUAGUGAGAGACUCUAGACAUACCUAUUGUAGUAAGAAUCUUGAGAACCCCCACUGGAAGUAUUCUUGAUUUAUUUAGGGAUUUGAAUGGGAAUCUAUGGAUUUUCAAGAUCAAUCCUUGUUAAUAUAAGUGUUUAGGAGAAGUAAUAAACUCAGAAUACUCCAAAAACAUUACCUUGGAUCAUAGGAGGGAAGUAUGAGACGGAUUCCCUCCCUUUCCUUUUGAUAGAGCAAGCCCUAGCUCAAAAAAAUGACUUAGAGACACUCCAUACCCGCUCUUGGGGUAUUUAUAGGGCUUAUAGACAUGUGACUGCGGUCAAACCGUACCCAGGAUGCAGUGACCACGCUCGUAUCGUGCUCGGGUCGCGUUCGGAGGUAGAAACUUCCAAUGUUUGCACGGCCGCACCGUGGACGCGUGUUUGAUACAGGUUUGGUAAAAUGGUCAUAACUUUAUGUAUACACCUUCAAAUGACAAGCGUUUUUAUGCGGUGAAAACUAGACUUAAAAAGAUUUAAUUUUGUAGGUUUGGCAUCACACAAAAUCUUAUAUAUAUGGAGAUAUGCUUGUCCAAGGUGAGGUCUUGUGCGUACUCAUUUACAAUUUUAGUCUAUUAUGAAAUUUUCCAACUUGGCUUAAACUUAGGUCUCUACUUAGACCCCAAAUCGCUUAUAAUAGCAUUUAUACACGUAUUAACAUAUCCAAUUCAUAUCCAUUAUAUCAUGAAUCCUCAUUUACACACAAGAUAAAAUAACUAGUCUACCUUGGCCCCACGAAGUCUUAAAUUACUUAGCAAACUUUUUUGGGGCUUUACCCCAUUCAAUACUUUAGACGUCCCAUAGAGCUUUAGGGGGUCGUGGUUCUUAUGUACAUCUUUUAGGGAAGCCACCAUAUAGUGCAUCGACAGCUCCUUUCAGAGCGCCUCCUCUUUAGAGUCACGAUCUCGGUCAGCUAGCUCAUCAGAGUCAGUAUUAGUUUCCUUAAUCGCAAUAAUCAGAUGGAUGCAUUGGGUGUAUUGAGUAUGGGCAUAUCUGGGGGACCUAUCCGAGAUUGAUUGUGCCUCGUGAUUCCUUAAGUGCUCCCUGUAUGUGUCUACACUAGUAGAUGGUUCUAUUGUUGUAGAUCGUGUCUAUCAUUCAUAUGUGGUUAUUCUUGGGGGACUUGAGACUAGCGUAGAUCUUCUACUUCUCGAUAUGGUUGAUUUCGAUGUUAUUUUAGGGAUGGAUUGGCUAUCACCUUACCAAGCUAUAUAAGAUUGUCAAGCCAAGACCAUGACCUUGGCAUUGUUAGGGUUGCCUCGAUUGGAGUGGAUAGGGACCCCGGAUCAUUCUACUAGUAGGGUUAUUUCUUAUAUGAAGGCUCAGUGUAUGAUCGAGAAGGGGUGUUUGGCUUAUUUGGCUUAUGGUCACAAUUCUAGUGCGUAGGUUGCUUCCAUGGAUUCCGUAGCAGUUGUUUGUGGAUUUCUAGAUGUUCAUGUAGGCCUGCCGGGGAUGCCACGCGACAGGGAUAUUGACUUUUGCAUUGAUUUGGCUCGGGGCCUCCGGCCCAUUUAUAUUCUGCCAUACCAUAUGGACCUGCCAGAGUUGAAAUAUAUGAAGGAACAGUUGCAAGAUUUGCUUGAUAAGGGCUUUAUUAGGCCUAAUGUCUCGCCUUGGGGUGCGGCAGUGUUGUUUGUAAAGAAAAAAGAUGGAUCGAUAUGGAUGUGCAUAGACUAUCGGGAGUUCAACAAAGUCACCAUCAAGAAAAAGUAUCUGCUACCGAGGAUUGAUGAUUUAUUUGAUAAGCUUCAGAGUGCCAAGGUGUUUUCAAAGAUCAAUUCGAGGUCUGACUACCAUCAGUUGAGGAUUAGGGCAUUCGAUGUCCCUAAGAUAGCAUUUCAAACUCGAUACAUGCAUUAUGAGUUUCUAGUAAUAUCAUUUUGGUUGACAAAUGCCCCAGUAUCAUUCUUAUAUUUAAUGAACCGGGUGUUCAAGCCCUAUCUGGAUUGCUUUGUGAUUUUUCUCAUUGAUGAUAUCUUGAUCUUCUCCCGUAGCCGAGAUAAGUAUGAGCAGCAUCUUCGGGUUGUUAUUCAAACUCUGAGAGACAAUUAGUUAUAUACAAUGUUUUCAAAAUGUGAGUUUUGGUUAGGUCAUAUUGUAUCAGCAGAAGGUAUUGAGGUGGACCCUAAGAAGAUUGAGGCUUCAAAGAUUAGCCUAGACCUACAUCAGCUAUAGAGAUUCGGAGUUCCUAGGUUUGGCGGGUAAUUAUCGUCGGUUUGUGGAGGGGUUUUCAUCCAUUGUAGCCUUGAUGACCAAGUUGACCUAGAAGGGUGCCCCGUGCUGAUGGUCAGACGAGUGUGAAAAGAGCUUUCAGAAGCUCAAGCCAGCUUUGACUACGGCGCUGGUGUUGGUGUUGCCCACAGGUUCAGGGCCCUAUACAGUAUAUUGUGAAAUAUCUCGUAUUGGACUUGGUAUGGUAUUGAUGCAUGGUGGUAAGCUUAUUGCAUAUGCUUCGCGGCAGUAGAAGAUUGACGAGAAGAAUUAUCCAGUUCAUGACUUGGAGCUAGUAGCCAUUGUACACGCGCUGAAGAUUUGGAGGAUCUAUCUAAAUAACGUGUCGUAUGAGGUGUUCAGGGAUCAUAAGAGUUUGCAGUACUUGGUCAAGCAAAAGGAUCUCAAUUUGAGGCAAAGAAAGUGGUUAGAGCUAUUGAAAGACAAUGAUAUCAAUAUCUUGUAUCAUCCUGAGAUGGACAAUGUGGUAGCUGAUGCUUUGAGUAAGGAGUAAGCUAGCAUGCCAAUCUUGCGUAUAUUUCAGCCGGUGAAAGACCGCUUAGCUUAGAUGUUCAGGCUUUGGCCAAUCAGUUCAUGAGGUUGGAUGUUUUGGAGCCCACCCGUAUUCUAGCCUGUCCAGUCGCUCGGUCUUCCUUGUUUGAACGUAUCAAGGAGCGGCAGUAUGAUGAUUCUCAUUUGCUUAUCUUUAGGGAUAUAGUGCAGCACAAAGAUGCCAAGCAUGUUACAGUUAGAGAUGAUGACUUUUGAGGAUGCAAGGUCAGGUUUGUGUGCCUAAUGUGGAUGGAAUUCGUGAGAUUAUUCUGGGGGAGGUUCAGUUCCCUGUAUUCUAUUCAUCCGAGUGCCGCUAAGAUGUAUUAGGACUUGAAGAAGAAUUAUUGGUGGAGGAGAUGAAGAAGGAUAUUGUUGCAUAUAUAGCUCGGUGAUUGAAUUGUCAGCAAGUAAAGCAUAAGAAUCAAAGACUUGGUGGUUUGCUUCAGAAGAUAAAUAUUCCUUAGUGGAAGUGAGAGCAUAUCAUUACAGACUUCGUUGUUAGACACCCAUGGACACAGAGGAAGUUCGAUACAGUAUGGGUUAUUGUUGAUAGGCUGACCAAGUCAGUGCAUUUCAUUCUUGUGGCAGUUUCCUAUUAUUCGAAGCAGUGGACAGAGAUCUAUAUCCGUGAGAUUAUUCGUCUUCAUGGUAUGCCUGUGUCUAUCAUUUCUGAUCUAGGUGCGUAGUUUACCUUGUAUAUCUGGAGAGCGGUACUUGUCACAACUUCUUUUUUACACGGCUACCCCGAAGGAUAAAAAAAGCGUAUAAGGGAGCUUUUCCAAUUAAAGUGACAUUAUUCGAAAUGAGAUUAUUUAUAUAUUUGGAGUCGCCACUUGGGAUAAGUUUGCCUUUUGGUGUCCCAAGUUGUUUGUUUAGAAUAACAAAUCGAGGAAAGUUUUGACUGCCCAAAUGGAGUUUGCGAACUAAAUAUUCUGAGUAAGGAAUUCAGUUGACCCGAGGAAAGGUGUUAGGCACCCUCGGAUCCCAUGGUUCUAGCAUAGUUUCUUAAACUAUUAUAAAUGGCUUAAUAUCUGAUUUUAAUACAUAUUUUAACCCAUGUGCAACUUUAAUUUUAACCGCUUUAUUAUUUGAUUUUAAGAAAAUUUCAACGUCACAUAAAAUGCAUUUUGAACUGCGUCACAUAAAUGCACCCUCAAUUCACAACAUAUUUUAUAUAACAUUGUUCGGAUUUGGAUUUAGGUCACAUAAAUGUGCACCCGAGUUUAGGAAGAUGAGUUAUUAAAAAUAACAACUUCAAAAAACUACACAAUUUUAAAUUUGCGAGGGCCAUGGAAAUUUAACUAAAUGGCACGCCUCGAAUUCUAAGGUUUGAAAGUCAAUUAAGUGAGGGCCAUGCAAUUUGUGAUAUUGUUUGGCAUGGCACGCCUCAAUUUCUUUCAAAGGGUUUUAUUGUUUGAAGUUGUUAUAAUCGGGUUACAUGAAAUGCACCCCCGAACUUGGAUUUGUUCAUCGUAACUAUGUCACGGGAACCGUACCCAUAGUCACAGUGGUUUAUUAUUAAGCACGUAUAAAGCAAGCUACGUAUUUGAAUUAUUUUCCUAAUCCUUGAGAUUGUUAUAAGGCCAAAUUUAUGAACAAGAUAUUAUUGGGGAGCAAACAUGGUAGCUAACAUGUUGUGCUACUUGGCCUAAAUUCCUUAUGGUUCAAGACUCACUUUAUGACCCAUUCUUCUUCCUUGCCAAGAAAGAAACGACUCCAAUUUUUCCCUCUCAAAAAUUAAAAGCAUUUAUUCAAGAACCCAAAACUACAUGCAUCACAAUAAAAAUAAUAACUAAUUAAAACAAGUUAAUGAAAGCUAAGACAUGCUACUCAAACAAUAUAGAAUCAUAUAUUAAUCAAGCACGCACACCAAGCUAUUGUAAUAUAAGAAAAUGAAAAUGAAAAUUGAAAUUAACCUUUUAUUCAUGAACGGUGCUGGAAAUUACAAAUCAAUUGGAAUAAACAAAGCAAUAAUACUUAGAUCGAAACACCGAAAUUAUAAAUCAAACCUCAAUUUUAAAGUUUGCCGGAAUUCGAUGAAACUCGGACAGCACCUCAAAAUUCUAUCCCCCGGACAGUAACGUCGAUGGGAGCUACUGUUUAGGAACUCAAGAUGAUUCUCUUUCGUUGGAAUCGGCGCCCUUUAUGUUGUUUAGGUCUCAAAUUUUGGUUUUUCAAUUAGUUUUUCUUUCUCAAUUUCGUUAGAUCUCAAAAGACCACUAAGUUUGUUGCACAAAAGCCAUUUGUGCAAGAUAACGUCAGAUAUCUCUAAUGAAAACAAAGCAUCAACAUUUUAAUAGGAAAUAAGAUAAGAAAAAUCACCAUUUUUAUUAGGAAUUAGGUUGCUAAUCGGUGUGUCUCCCUUUGGAAUCGCCGUUGUUGUUUUGGUGUUUUUAGUUUUUUGGAAUUGAAAAUAGGGUAGGGUUUCUCUAAUUGGAUAUUUUAUAUGGAGGUAGAAAUUAA